rnacentral:rRNA from 1 species
GAAGAGAGAGUUAAAGAGCACGUGAAAUCGGUAAGGUGGAAACGGAUAGAGUUGACGUAUAUGACUUGUAUUCAAUCGUUAGAUAAUGCGUAACAAUGGGUUGUUUUUGUGUUGACCGGUUUAAUAUACGCUAUUUUCGGAUAGUUGUUUAUGUUGGGCUGGUUCGGCGCGCAGUCCAUUGGUGUUUACGUUUUUUAGCGGUGCAUUUACGAGUCAAUGUGCGCUGGGACAUGCGCGAUUUUCGGUCGUCGAAAAUGUUUGGUGCAAGAGGUUACUUUUAAAGUAUUUUAAAUUUUUAUUUAAAAUACCAAGUAAAACCGUGCCCCUUUUUUAUAGGCGAUUCGUCGUGCAUGUAGUACUAUAUUUAUUGGUUUUUUUAAAGGAUGGCAUUUUAUAAUGCGAAUGUUUAAAUUUAAUUGUAUUUGUUGAUUAGACGAGUCGCAUGCGACGCGUAUAAUUAUUUAAAAAAAUAAAUACAUUUAUUUAAACGUUUCCCAUUCUCCUUUAUCCCGGUGUAAAAGUCAAUCAUCUAUCCGACCCGUCUUGAAACACGGACCAAGGAGUUUAACGUAUACGCGAGUCAUUGGGUGUUAAAAACCUAAAGGCGUAAUGAAAGUGUAAGUAUUCAUUGAAAUACAAAUAUGUGAUCCCAUAAAUUCCGAUUUAAGGGCGCAGCAUAGCCCCGUUUUUGUCGCAUGCGAUGGAGCGGAGGAAGAGCGUAUGCGUUGAGACCCGAAAGAUGGUGAACUAUGCCUGAGCAGGACGAAGCCAGAGGAAACUCUGGUGGAAGUCCGAAUCGGUUCUGACGUGCAAAUCGAUCGUCUGACUUGGGUAUAGGGGCGAAAGACUAAUCGAACUAUC